rnacentral:rRNA from 1 species
UACGGAGGGGGCUAGCGUUGUUCGGAAUUACUGGGCGUAAAGCGCACGUAGGCGGCUUUGCAAGUCAGAGGUGAAAGCCCGGGGCUCAACCCCGGAAUUGCCUUUGAGACUGCAUCGCUAGAAUUGUGGAGAGGUAAGUGGAAUUCCGAGUGUAGAGGUGAAAUUCGUAGAUAUUCGGAAGAACACCAGUGGCGAAGGUGACUUACUGGACACAUAUUGACGCUGAGGUGCGAAAGCGUGGGGAGCAAACAGG